rnacentral:rRNA from 1 species
UGGCGGCGUGGAUAAGACAUGCAAGUCGAACGAGAGAAUUGCUAGCUUGCUAAUAAUUCUCUAGUGGCGCACGGGUGAGUAACACGUGAGUAACCUGCCCCCGAGAGCGGGAUAGCCCUGGGAAACUGGGAUUAAUACCGCAUAGUAUCGAAAGAUUAAAGCAGCAAUGCGCUUGGGGAUGGGCUCGCGGCCUAUUAGUUAGUUGGUGAGGUAACGGCUCACCAAGGCGAUGACGGGUAGCCGGUCUGAGAGGAUGUCCGGCCACACUGGAACUGAGACACGGUCCAGACACCUACGGGUGGCAGCAGUCGAGAAUCAUUCACAAUGGGGGAAACCCUGAUGGUGCGACGCCGCGUGGGGGAAUGAAGGUCUUCGGGUUGUAAACCCCUGUCAUGUGGGAGCAAAUUAAAAAGAUAGUACCACAAGAGGAAGAGACGGCUAACUCUGUGCCAGCAGCCGCGGUAAUACAGAGGUCUCAAGCGUUGUUCGGAAUCACUGGGCGUAAAGCGUGCGUAGGCUGUUUCGUAAGUCGUGUGUGAAAGGCGCGGGCUCAACCCGCGGACGGCACAUGAUACUGCGAGACUAGAGUAAUGGAGGGGGAACCGGAAUUCACGGUGUAGCA